rnacentral:rRNA from 1 species
GGGGGGGGGGGGGGGGGGGGGGGGGGGGGGGGGGGGGGGGGGGGGGGGGGGAGGCGGGGGGGGCGGAUGGUAGCGGCGGGGGGGGGAGGAACACGGGGAUAACCGACCUGUAAGACUGGGAUAACUUCGGGGAACCGUAGCUAAUACGGGAUAAUAUUGUGAACCGCAUGGUUCAAAAGUGAAAGACGGUCUUGCUGCCACUUAUAGAUGGAUCCGCGCUGCAUUAGCUAGUUGGUAAGGUAACGGCUUACCAAGGCAACGAUGCAUAGCCGACCUGAGAGGGUGAUCGGCCACACUGGAACUGAGACACGGUCCAGACUCCUACGGGAGGCAGCAGUAGGGAAUCUUCCGCAAUGGGCGAAAGCCUGACGGAGCAACGCCGCGUGAGUGAUGAAGGUCUUCGGAUCGUAAAACUCUGUUAUUAGGGAAGAACAUAUGUGUAAGUAACUGUGCACAUCUUGACGGUACCUAAUCAGAAAGCCACGGCUAACUACGUG